UAUUGUGUUGGCCAAAAAGUUCCUUUGGGUUUUUCCAUGGCAUUUUAUAGAAAAACUCAAAUGAACUUUUUGGCGAACCCAAU
rnacentral:miRNA from 1 species